rnacentral:tRNA from 1 species
AUAGAGUUGGCAGAAUAAUAUGUGAAUGAGUUAGGUUCAUUUUAUAAGAAAAAAUUUUUCUUACUUUAUA